GACGAACGCUGGCGGCGUGCUUAACACAUGCAAGUCGAACGAAGUGGAGAACGGGUGAGUAACGCGUAAUCAACCUGCCCUUCAGGGGGGGACAACAGUUGGAAACGACUGCUAAUACCGCAUACAGAAGAGGGGGAAUGCGUAUGAUUAGCUAGUUGGAGGGGUAACGACCCACCAAGGCGAUGAUCAGUAGCCGGGCUGAGAGGAUGAACGGCCACAUGGGGACUGUGACACGGCCCAGACUCCUACGGGAGGCAGCAGUGGGGAAUCUUCCGCAAUGGACGAAAGUCUGACGGAGCAACGCCGCGUGAGUGAUGACGGCCUUCGGGUUGUAAAGCUCUGUUAAUCGGGACGCGGUACCGGAAUAGAAAGCCACGGCUAACUACGUGCCAGCAGCCGCGGUAAUAC
rnacentral:rRNA from 1 species